AGAACGGUGUUGCGGCUGCAACCCGGAUCAGUUGGAAACUACUUUUCUAUUUCUGGAUAGCAGCCUCCCCAGAGUCACCAGACACAGGCAAUCUAAAGGAUCACUAUGUUGUUCGUGUAGGACAUGGAGCGAUCAUUCCCGCUGCUUGCAUAGAGUUUUGGCUGUGUAAGCUCCGGCUCCGCCCGAACAAAGCACGAGCGCGGACGUACUCUCAAGCCGAAAUUGCGGGGCAAUCACUCGCUACGGCACGUGUUUUGUCAGGCAGCACGGAUCGUGAGCUGUGCAAUAGCUUGAUCUUGCCAAGAAAAGCAACCUCAAAAGGGCAGCUUCUUCGAGACGCUCAAGCGGGAGGUUGCUUGCACUGCGAGGGUGGCGUUACCGUGAAACGGCUUGAAGGGUGACCUGUUCAACGCCUCGAAGUCGAGGGCACUCUCAAGCUACAUGCUCCCAUUACGGAGGCAUGCGGUUAAGAGCCUCUGAGUUGGCGCUACUACGAAUGGCAGCGCCUGUACACACAGCAUACCAGAAUAAGCUGAUACGGUUGUAUCUACACAAAAACUUACGGGCAUCGCGGCCCAUGGAAGCGCGCUCCCUGGUGCACCAGUGCGUGACAUAUGCCCACCUGAAUGGAUACGGCGCUCUCACACGUAUGCCCAGUAUCGAUCGAAACACAGGAAGCCGCCAGGGUCAGUGGCGGACGGGAGCGAGCGGAACCUUCCGUGACAAUAAGAGUUAUUCGCGCCCCAAAAGCACGUAUCACGAGUAGGGAUACAUACCACAUCACGCCGUACAUCCUUAUUGUCGGGUCGCUUGGGCUCGCUGGUGAAUCCGACGUCCCGAAAUAGCGUACCAGCACCGUGGCACUAGACAUUAUGAAACAGGAAUGCACCCAUUUGAGAUGCAUUACACGGAUUAGCCGGUUUCGAGUAACCGGCUCAUCCACAGUGGGCAAGCCUCCACAUCACGUCUCGAAAACGCUCGUUCUCGGGGCUUUUCUGGAAUCUCCUACACUGCGGACGGGAAUCGGUCGCUGAUGCGAACUCCGGAGCGAAUGCUCCCCCGUGCACUUCCUUGUUUCCCGUAGCAUCAGUUCCAAGCGCCUCAUCCAGGUGGGAUCUGUGAUGAACCGACUGCCGCUCUGUAUAAUAAUCCUCAGCAGCUCGCAUGCGUCGCUCCAGAUACGUUGAGCAGCGGAAUCAGCAUCGCAUCCAGGUAGAGGCUUAAGCGCUGUUCACUGCGUUAUCUCCCCAGCAUACUCGCGACACGCUGCACACGAAUGCCUCGCGGAAUAGUGAAACGGCUUCGUAGCAGGCUUUGACAACGACGCGGAUCUAUCGUUGAGAUUCGUGCGUAUCUAGAGUAUCUUUCUGUCCGCCAGCUUCAGAGCGGCUACGCAUACGAGCCGCCUACCCUUCUUCAAGGCCAUUCGCGGAACUUCUCGAGCCAGGGUCCGCACUGUGCGAGCUAUAUAAAGUCGCCGCAAAUAAUGCGCAAGACACGGAGACGGUACACUUGCCAAGUCGGCCAGUUGCUGCUUUGCGAAGCCAGCUGGCCGUUUAUGGAUGACGGUGAUCAGCAUAGGUCUGCGCUUUGCAUCCGCGCUGAUUCGUUUUCGUUUCCAACGAGUCGAGUUAGGUGGCUCACGCCACGCGACCAGAACGCGACUAUCAUACUCGACGCGUCUUGGUCUCAAUGACCGCGCACGGUCACAUUGCUUGUCGUCUUUUUACAGUACCUCCUACGCUGUCUCUUCGUUGAGUGUCAGGAAAUCACGGUCGAUAGAUGCCAACAAACGGAAGUUGGCGAAACCGCUCAUCGCAAUCUAGACCAUAACCGACUACAAAUCGAUCGGGGCAGACGAAUCCCACGUAUCGCACUUCUGGUACCCCUUCGUCUUUGCGUUCUGUUUGUUUCGAGAUAAAGGCGCAAAAGUGCACACUUAAGGCGCCGCGACGCCCGAGUUCUUCGUGAAUUGCCUUGAGUGUCUUGCCUGUGUCGACAAUAUCCUCAACGACGAGCACAUGCUUAUCGCGGACGUCCAACAAAUCAAAGUCAUGCAGCCAUACGGACCCAGUGGAAUGUGUUCCAGCAUAUGAUUUAGCGCGUGCAAAGUAAAUUCGCACUGGGUGGGUAAUCUUCCGUACGAGAUCAGCAAGAAAAAUAAAGCUGCCG